rnacentral:rRNA from 1 species
AGUGAACGCUAGCGGGAGGCUUAACACAUGCAAGUCGAGGGGUAUUGUAGCAAUACAUUAGACCGGCGCACGGGUGAGUAACGCGUAUGCAACCUGCCGUUAACCGGGGGAUAGCCCGUCGAAAGGCGGAUUAAUACCCCAUAAUAUUGGGAUUCUGCAUGGGAUUUCAAUUAAAGCUGAGGUGGUUAACGAUGGGCAUGCGUGACAUUAGCUAGUUGGUAGGGUAACGGCCUACCAGGCUACGAUGUCUAGGGGUUCUGAGAGGAAGGUCCCCCACACUGGUACUGAGACACGGACCAGACUCCUACGGGAGGCAGCAGUGAGGAAUAUUGGUCAAUGGGCGAGAGCCUGAACCAGCCAUCCCGCGUGCAGGAAGACGGCCCUAUGGGUUGUAAACUGCUUUUGCGCAUGAAGAAUGUUACCGACGUGUCGGUAAGUGACGGUAAUGCGUGAAUAAGCAUCGGCUAACUCCGUGCCAGCCGCCGCUGUAACAC